rnacentral:rRNA from 1 species
UAACCCGACCAAGGGAGGCGAGGCGACCACGGUAGGGUCGAGCGACUGGGGUG